rnacentral:ncRNA from 1 species
AAUUGGCUUGUGGCAGCCAAGCGUUCAUAUCAAUGUUGUCUUCUGCUGAUUCGGUGUCAGUUCAUUUUUUCAUACUGAAGAGUCCAACUAACAUCGGAUUUACUCUCCCCCGAAUAAGAAACAAGUCCUGGGUUUGGACCGUCGUGAGACAGAUU